rnacentral:rRNA from 1 species
GUAGGUGGCAAGCGUUGUCCGGAAUUAUUGGGCGAAAAGCGCGCGCAGGCGGUUCUUUAAGUCUGAUGUGAAAGCCCACGGGCUCAACCGUGGAGGGUCAUUGGAAACUGGAGAACUUGAGUACAGAAGAGGAAAGCGGAAUUCCACGUGUAGCGGUGAAAUGCGUAGAGAUGUGGAGGAACACCAGUGGCGAAGGCGGCUUUCUGGUCUGUAACUGACGCUGAGGCGCGAAAGCGUGGGGAGCAAACAGGAUUAGAUACCCUGGUAGUCCACGCCGUAAACGAUGAGUGCUAAGUGUUAGGGGGUUUCCGCCCCUUAGUGCUGCAGCUAACGCAUUAAGCACUCCGCCUGGGGAGUACGGCCGCAAGGCUG